UUGACCUCGGAUCAGGUAGGACUACCCGCUGAACUUAAGCAUAUCAAUAAGCGGAGGAAAAGAAACCAACAGGGAUUGCCCCAGUAACGGCGAGUGAAGCGGCAACAGCUCAGAUUUGGAAUCUGGCCCCCAGGGCCCGAGUUGUAAUCUGGAGAGGAUGCUUCUGGCGCGGCGCCUUCCGAGUUCCCUGGAACGGGACGCCGGAGAGGGUGAGAGCCCCGUACGGUUGGACGCCUAGCCUUUGUGAAGCUCCUUCGACGAGUCGAGUAGUUUGGGAAUGCUGCUCAAAAUGGGAGGUAAAUUUCUUCUAAAGCUAAAUACCGGCCAGAGACCGAUAGCGCACAAGUAGAGUGAUCGAAAGAUGAAAAGCACUUUGAAAAGAGGGUCAAACAGUACGUGAAAUUGUUGAAAGGGAAGCGCCCGUGGCCAGACUUGUGCCCCGCGGACCACCCGGCGCCCUCAGCGCCGGUGCACUCCGCGGGGCGCAGGCCAGCAUCGGUUUUCCUAGGGGGAUAAAGGCGGCGGGAACGUGGCUCCUUCGGGAGUGUUAUAGCCNGUCGUGCCAUGCCCCUGGGGGGACCGAGGACCGCG
rnacentral:rRNA from 1 species